rnacentral:tRNA from 1 species
GCGGGUGUAGCUCAGUUGGCAGAGCAUCGCCUUCCCAAGGCGAAUGUCGUCGGUUCGAUCCCGAUCACCCGCU